UCGGUUUCGCAGCUAACGCAUUAAGCACUCCGCCUGGGGAGUACGGUCGCAAGAUUAAAACUCAAAGGAAUUGACGGGGGCUCGCACAAGCGGUGGAGCAUGCGGUUUAAUUCGAUGUUACGCGAAAAACCUUACCAACCCUUGACAUGGUGGUCGCAGAUCGCAGAGAUGCUUUCCUUCAGUUCGGCUGGACCACACACAGGUGUUGCAUGGCUGUCGUCAGCUCGUGUCGUGAGAUGUUGGGUUAAGUCCCGCAACGAGCGCAACCCUCAUUCUUAUUUGCCAGCGGGUAAUGCCGGGAACUAUAAGAAAACUGCCGGUGAUAAGCCGGAGGAAGGUGGGGACGACGUCAAGUCAUCAUGGCCCUUACGGGUUGGGCUACACGCGUGCUACAAUGG
rnacentral:rRNA from 1 species